GCUUUUUCGGUCAUGUUAAAAGCAUAAACAUUUUACAAAUUUCAGUAACGACCUGGGAAAACGAGAAAAAAGGAAGCAGCAGCAGCAGUGGCAGCAGCAGCAGCGGCAGCCGCAGUCAGUGCAAUCAAAGCUGCCCCAAAUUAAUUUAAAAAGGCAGCCACACACACACACGCACACACACACACACACACACACACACACACAAGACUCACAGAAAAAGUUGUUGCUGCCGCGCUAUUUAAACAACACAAAUUUUUGUAAAUUGUCUGGCUGGAAUUUUAAUGCUAUGCGCACACAUGGAGCUGGGCACACUGGAGAGCUGAGGAACUACUGGAUGCCAUAGAGCAGUUGCCAGAUGGUGGUUGAUUCCUGACAAUAUGGACGUUCGCAACGAAUUCAUUUACAUUGUUAUUGUUGCUAUCUUUGUGGUAGUUGUUUUUGCUGCGGCUGCUUAUUUUUUUGUUAAAACUGAUUCGGAUCCUGAAGACAUGGCAUGAGCGAGAGAGAGAGAGCAACAACAACCAUCCUGUCGGGCGAAACUUUUGCUUUUAUUUAUUUAGCUGCAGACCAGAAACAACAAAAAGCAGCCAAAGGCAAGGCGAAUCGGUUGAUGCACUCCCUAAUCAUAUGUGCAAUUCGUUUUUAGGGAGCUUAUUUUUUGUAAUUAUUUACAACGAGAGUUUAUACAUUUUCAGAGAGCCUAUAAAAGUAGCGUGUCACAAUUUGUAA